rnacentral:tRNA from 1 species
AAUUAUAUAGUCAUAUUAUGAUAUUGAAUUGCAAAUUCAAAGGUGAGAAAAUUUCUGUAAUUU